AUUGAACGCUGGCGGCAGGCCUAACACAUGCCAGUCGAGCGGAUGAAGGGAGCUUGCUCCUGGAUUCAGCGGCGGACGGGUGAGUAAUGCCUAGGAAUCUGCCUGGUAGUGGGGGAUAACGUCCGGAGACGGGCGCUAAUACCGCAUACGUCCUGAGGGAGAAAGUGGGGGAGCUUCGGACCUCACGCUAUCAGAUGAGCCUAGGUCGGAUUAGCUAGUUGGUGGGGUAAAGGCCUACCAAGGCGACGAUCCGUAACUGGUCUGAGAGGAUGAUCAGUCACACUGGAACUGAGACACGGUCCAGACUCCUACGGGAGGCAGCAGUGGGGAAUAUUGGACAAUGGGCGAAAGCCUGAUCCAGCCAUGCCGCGUGUGUGAAGAAGGUCUUCGGAUUGUAAAGCACUUUAAGUUGGGAGGAAGGGCAGUAAGUUAAUACCUUGCUGUUUUGACGUUACCAACAGAAUAAGCACCGGCUAACUUCGUG
rnacentral:rRNA from 1 species